AAACCUGUGUCACUUGAUUUAAAUUGACAUCUAAAUGUAUAUUUCAAAUUUUGAUAGGUGUCAUUUAAACGUACAAUAGCAUAAAAGUGACCAGUACAAAUUAAAUUAAUUUUAAUGCCGUCUAAAAACAAUUGUUACAAAAACUUCAUGAGGAGGAAAAUAAAAAAGAAAGAAACUGCUAAGGAGAAAAGACAACGCAGAAAGGAAUGCGAGAACGUCCAAAAUCAGGUUUAUACCAUUGCUAUUCCUACUUUGGUCGUUAUUUGCAUUAUGAUCGUUGUUUUUAUAUAUAUCAUGACUAGGCCAAAAAAUCAAUCAACUAGUUCCUAGUUGUCAUUUUUUAUGUACCUUCAUGAUUUUGAAUAAAGUUUUACUUUAUUAUUAA